rnacentral:rRNA from 1 species
UACGAAGGGGGCUAGCGUUGCUCGGAAUCACUGGGCGUAAAGGGUGCGUAGGCGGGUCUUUAAGUCAGGGGUGAAAUCCUGGAGCUCAACUCCAGAACUGCCUUUGAUACUGAAGAUCUUGAGUUCGGGAGAGGUGAGUGGAACUGCGAGUGUAGAGGUGAAAUUCGUAGAUAUUCGCAAGAACACCAGUGGCGAAGGCGGCUCACUGGCCCGGUACUGACGCUGAGGUGCGGAAAGCGUGGGGAGCAAACAGGG